AUUCUUUUCACCUAUUUCAUUGAUUUAUUAAUUUUUUGUCCACAAAGGGGGUAAUAAACAUCCAGUAGCUUGUUUUAACUUGCAACAAGCACAUGUUGAGCGAGUACACAUUGUCCAGGAAAAACUUGUUCAGUCACUUGCACCUAAUCAAGAAGCAGAACUAAAUUUAACAAAACAAAAUGGAGUAGAGAGCAAGGAUAGGUUGAGACUUUCACUGGCAGGCAGACCAAAGAGGGCUUUGGAACAGUUUCAGAAACUUUCCAUUAAGAAACAACAGCAAGUAUAGAAAGUUUGUUCACCAACAUCUUUUAAAAGCAUCAUUGUAAAAACAGAUAGCCAUCAUAAAUAAUGAGGACAGGCUUGCGCAAAGGGAAAUUUAAGCAAAAAUUCUCACACCAAACAUUGCUGUGUGGAAACACAGGCAAAACAUUCAAGAAUAUUUCACUGUUACAAACUUCCAGCAAACGUGAUUUAGCAGCAGAGUAACUGUCUCAUGGUGGCUGGGAGCUGCUGCCAGACAUUCGGAUGUGCUGUGGAUGCUAAAAGACUACUUAGAGGUUCAAAGGGCGAGUGUACAAACGCGGGGCAGCAAAGUCCAAGGAGGUCUGUUUGCCACUGGCUUCCCAGAGGAAGACUGGACUCAUCUUGUCACCACUGGACCCUCCUAUAGGAUCAUCUCUACUCCAACAGAACCACAUCUGUCACUCCAGGAGGACUUCUUUUGGACUGCUUCCAACACCCUAGCCAACAGGAUGUCAGAUGUUCUAAUGGAAGAGAACUGUGGAUAGGAGUGCAAGACAUCCUCUGCAAAGAAGCACUUUCGCUAAAUCUUGCUGAUGUGAAUUAUAGACAUGAUCAACAUUCUUCUAAUCCUAUUUUUGGCAUCCGCGAACAAAGUACCAACUGCAAAUGGCAAAUGUGUCGGCAAGUCCUUCUUGUAUGGAUAUUGCUUUGAACAGCCACACUGACUUUGGAGAAGCGAAUAAGCUUGUUUUUUCCUCUGGAUGGCCAGCCACACAGCAAGCAGUCCCAGUACUGCAGAGUUCACAUUAAAAGAACAUGAAGAUGAGAAGACAAGAAGAUAAGCAAAGAAACACCUUCAUGGAAGGAUGAUUUGAAAGUUGUUGGAGCUUGACCAGUAAUGACAUCUACCGAAUGUCUGCUUAUUGAUCUACUCUACUAAAUAAAUUCAUUUAGUUUGUUUAGGAUAGAGUUUGUUUUGCAAGUAGUUACUGACUUGUAGACAUAUUGGGGGAGAGGGAGGUGGGGAGCAGGGUUGGAGGAGAAAUGGUGAAAUUUCUGGACAGAUCUGAAAUGUGAAAACUCAAAAUACAACUUUAAAUGUCCCUUCUUCCAUACAGGCCCUGUUUUCUGAAAAGUGCCAUCAUCCUUAAAUGGGACUCUCAUGUUAAUGUGGAGAUACGUGCUUUCAGUAUAGUUGAACUGUGGUUUGGCAAUCAAAACAUGUCCAGUAAAAGAUACAUUGAAGAUGUUGCUUGAAAAAGACAUGUCCAGGGCUUUUGUCACUUCACUGUCAUCACACACAAAAUUGACACCAGCUGUGGACAUACAUACAUAGGUUUAUACAUACUCGAAGUACACUGAAACAGCUACAAAACCACACCAUGGCCACCUUUCUUGAUUCUAGUGACCAUCUGCGCACCAGAAUCAAGAAACAUCUUUGUUUUUUAACAACUUUCAACUGGAAAUAUUUUAUCAACCUUUAAAAAGUAUAUUUUUCCACUAUGGGAGCAGUCUAAAAUGGGGAUAAAAUUAAUUAGUCUGAAAAGAUCUCAUGCAGCCACUCUCUCCAUACUUUUGCUGGGUGCCCAAGCUGCAAAUGUUGUAAUGCCCAUAAAGUUAGAAUAAAUAAAUUGGUCCUCUGAAGAAA